rnacentral:hammerhead_ribozyme from 1 species
AUUCAGCUGACGAUUCCCUGCAUAGGACGAAACGCGCGUCCUGGAU